AUUUCUAUGAAGUAAUGAGAUCGAUACGAUAGAUCUGUGAAGACGAGGCGAUUGUUGACGAGUCUGUUUUUUGUUAAUAACUACCCUCUUUACUGUACAUCUGAAACUAUAAUGGGAAAAAUGAACAAACACAUCAAAACAGAGAUCAGGGAUAAAAUUCCAAAUAUUUAUUACCGGCUGGAUCCAGACAAAAAUAGUACCCGAAGAGUUACAAGAAGUAUUAGUAGAAUUUUACACACCUGGGAAAACUUCAUGGUGAUAGAGGUAUAUAAGUGUAUGCCGCUUUUGGG